rnacentral:rRNA from 1 species
AACGAACGCUGGCGGCAGGCUUAACACAUGCAAGUCGAACGCGCCGCAAGGGGAGUGGCAGACGGGUGAGUAACGCGUGGGAACAUACCCUUUCCUGCGGAAUAGCUCUGGGAAACUGGAAUUAAUACCGCAUACGCCCUACGGGGGAAAGAUUUAUCGGGGAAGGAUUGGCCCGCGUUGGAUUAGCUAGUUGGUGGGGUAAAGGCCUACCAAGGCGACGAUCCAUAGCUGGUCUGAGAGGAUGAUCAGCCACAUUGGGACUGAGACACGGCCCAAACUCCUACGGGAGGCAGCAGUGGGGAAUAUUGGACAAUGGGCGCGAGCCUGAUCCAGCCAUGCCGCGUGAGUGAUGAAGGCCUUAGGGUUGUAAAGCUCUUUCACCGAUGAAGAUAAUGACGGUAGUCGGAGAAGAAGCCCCGGCUAACUUCGUGCCAGCCGCCGCAGUAAUAC